AUUGAACGCUGGCGGCAAGCCUAACACAUGCAAGUCGAACGAGUGGCGGACGGGUGAGUAAUGUCUGGGAAACUGCCUGAUGGAGGGGGAUAACUACUGGAAACGGUAGCUAAUACCGCAUACCAUCGGAUGUGCCCAGAUGGGAUUAGCGAGUAGGUGGGGUAAAGGCUCACCUAGGCGACGAUCCCUAGCUGGUCGGAGAUGAGGACCAGCAACACUGGAACGGGUACAAGGUCCAGAUUCCAACGGGAGGCAGCAGUGGGGAAUAUUGCACAAUGGGCGCAAUCCUGAUGCAGCCAUGCGGCGGGUAGGAAGAAGGUCUUCGGGUUGUAAAGUACGUUCAGCGGGGAGGCGUUACCCGCAGAAGAAGCACCGGCUAACUCCGUGCCAGCAGCCGCGGUAAUAC
rnacentral:rRNA from 1 species